GCUGUUGUAGCUCAGUCGGUAGAGCACCUCAUUGGUAAUGAGGAGGCAGGCAGUUCGAAUCUGCUCAACAGCUCCA
rnacentral:tRNA from 1 species